rnacentral:tRNA from 1 species
GCGGGAAUAGCUCAGUGGUAGAGCAUCGCGCCUUGCCAAGGCGAGGGUCGCGAGUUCGAAUCUCGUUUCCCGCU